rnacentral:rRNA from 1 species
UAUUGGACAAUGGGCGAAAGCCUGAUCCAGCCAUGCCGCGUGAGUGAUGAAGGCCUUAGGGUUGUAAAGCUCUUUUGUCAGGGAAGAUAAUGACGGUACCUGAAGAAUAAGCACCGGCUAACUUCGUGCCAGCAGCCGCGGUAAUACGAAGGGUGCUAGCGUUGUUCGGAAUUACUGGGCGUAAAGCGCGCGUAGGCGGCUCCGCAAGUCAGAGGUGAAAUCCCUGGGCUCAACCCAGGAAUUGCCUUUGAAACUGCAGAGCUAGAGUGUCGGAGGGGAUAGCGGAAUUCCUAAUGUAGAGGUGUAAUUCGUAGAUAUUAGGAGGAACACCGGUGGCGAAGGCGGCUAUCUGGACGACAACUGACGCUGAGCGCGAA